AGAUUAAGCCAUGCAUGUCUCAGUUCAGGCCCUAGUACGGUGAAACCGCGAAUGGCUCAUUAAAUCAGCUAUGGUUUAUUGGAUCGUACUCGUUAAAUGGAUAACUGUAAUAACUCUAGAGCUAAUACAUGCUUCGAUGCCCUGACCCUGUUUGCUUACCUCUCUAUCUGCUUGCUUGCUUGCUUGCUUGCUUGCUUGCAGUUGCAGUGGUGGGCAGUAGCAGGGGAUGGGUGCACUUAUUAGAUCAGAAGCCAACCAACUGCUUGCACGUGCGUGCGUGAGUGUGCGCGUGAAGGCGUUGAGAGGAGGAGGAGACCGCUUCUGGUGACUCUGGAUAAUUGUUACAGAUCGCAGUCGGCCUUGAGUCGGCGACGGGUCCUUCAAAUGUCUGCCCUAUCAACUGUCGAUGGUAGGUGACCUGCCUACCAUGGUGAUAACGGGUAACGGGGAAUCAGGGUUCGAUUCCGGAGAGGGAGCCUGAGAAACGGCUACCACUUCCAAGGGAGGCAGCAGGCGCGCAAAUUACCCACUCCCGGCACGGGAAGGUGGUGACGAAAAAUACCGAUGCGGGACUCCUUUAAGAGGCUCCGUAAUCGGAAUGAGUGGACUCUAAAUCCUUUCACGAGGAUCAAUUGGAGGGCAAGUCUGGUGCCAGCAGCCGCGGUAACUCCAGCUCCAAUAGCGUAUAUUAAAGUUGCUGCAGUUAAAAAGCUCGUAGUUGGAUCUCGGUGGCAUUGUUGCYGUUGGUAAUUGAGCGGUCGGUGUGUGGUCAAUGGCGACGACGAUGAUGCUCAGCAGCAUUUUCUUUGAACAAAUUUGAGUGCUCAAAUCAGGCCGAUGUUGCCUGAAAAGUUUUGCAUGGAAUAAUGGAAUAGGACUUCGGUUCUAUUUCGUUGGUUUUCGGAUCCGAAGUAAUGAUCAAAAGAGACAGGCGGGGACGUUUGUAUGGCUGCGCUAGAGGUGAAAUUCAUGGACCGUAGCCAGACAAACUAAAGCGAAAGCAUUCGUCAAGCAUGUUUUCAUUGGCCAUGAGCGAAAGUCAGAGGCUCGAAGACGAUCAGAUACCGUCCUAGUUCUGACCAUAAACGAUGCCAACUGACGAUCCGUGGUGGUAGUAGUAUUACCUUCCCCACGGGCAGUCGCCGGGAAACCUUUAAGUGUUUGGGUUCCGGGGGAAGUAUGGUUGCAAAGCUGAAACUUAAAGGAAUUGACGGAAGGGCACCACCAGGAGUGGAGCCUGCGGCUUAAUUUGACUCAACACGGGAAAACUCACCCGGGCCGGACACUAUGAGGAUUGACAGAUUGAGAGCUCUUUCUUGAUUUGGCUUCUUAGAGGGACAAGCGGUUUGUGAGAAGCCGCACGAA
rnacentral:rRNA from 1 species